UGGAAAACUUCACAUUCAGAAUAGAGAUAUGGAAUAACAAACACUGGUCCAUGUGAUUUAGGUUCACCCAUGAAAUAGUCAGAAUUUUAAAAAGUAGAAUAUAACCGACGGGGGCAGGUGAUAGGAUGUGGUGCUGCAUAAGAACAAGAGCAAGCUAGAGAGAGAGAAAACUAUUGUGUUUAGUUUUAAUAAAUUCGAAUUAAAAUGUACCAUUACACUCAGAGGAUCAAUAUGAAAUCAAAAUAUAUGCAAAUUCUGUAUGAAGUACAUGACUGGUGACUGGAGAAAUAUUAUGAAAGGUGAGAAAGGUAAGCCCCGAUGGGGGUGAUAAAACCAUAGAUUUGAAUUGAAUUCUUAUAAUUUGACACCAAACAUAAAAUU